CCUACGGGAGGCAGCAGUGGGGAAUUUUGCGCAAUGGGCUAACGCCUGACGCAGCAACGCCGCGUGGAGGAUGAAGGUCUUUGGAUUGUAAACUCCUGUCAGCAGGGAAAAAGCGACCUGACCUCAUACGUCAGGGAGUUGAUUGUACCUGCAGAGGAAGCCCCGGCUAACUCUGUGCCAGCAGCCGCGGUAAUACAGAGGGGGCAAGCGUUAUUCGGAAUUAUUGGGCGUAAAGGGCGCGUAGGCGGCCUGGCAAGUGGAAGGUGAAAUCCCUCGGCUUAACCGAGGAACUGCCUUCCAGACUGCUUGGCUUGAGACCAGGAGAGGUGAGUGGAAUUCCCAGUGUAGCGGUGAAAUGCGUAGAUAUUGGGAGGAACACCAGUGGCGAAGGCGGCUCACUGGACUGGUACUGACGCUGAGGCGCGAAAGCGUGGGGAGCA
rnacentral:rRNA from 1 species